rnacentral:lncRNA from 1 species
CAGUGUUGGGUUACUUAAAGAGCAGAACAUUUUGUUGCCUGAAUUCUUGGAAGGGUUGAUGGAAUCUGUAGACCUCGUGAGUCUGCAAAAUUGCUGCCUAACACACCUAAAAUUCCUAAAGCUGAAUCCGUUUGAACUCUUUUUAUCCAAUAUUCCUCCAUAUUGCAUAAAACAUAUUGGGUGCUCUGUCUGUGUUCCCACCUCAACAGUAGUUAGCCUUUCAAAAUAGCAUUUGUUGUUGUUUAGUAGUUUAGUCGUGUCCGACUCUUCAUGACCCCAUGGACCAGAGCACGCCAGGCACUCCUGUCUUCCACUGCCUCCCGCAGUUUGGUCAGACUCAUGUUCGUAGCUUCGAGAACACUAUCCAACCAUCACAUCCUCUGUCAUUCCCUUCUCCUUGUGCUCUCCAUCUUUCCCAACAUCAGGGUCUUUUCCAGGGAGUCUUCUCUUCUCAUGAGGUGGCCAAAGUACUGGCGCCUCAGCUUCAGGAUCUGUCCUUCCAGUGAGCACUCAGGGCUGAUAUAAUAGCAUUUACAGAGCUGAUAUAAUAGCAUUUAAAAUAGCAUUUACACCAGUCCAAAGUGCUUGCUUUUUAAAUGUUUUUUAAUUUAUUUUUUAUAAUGCUUUUUAUUAGUUUUCUUACGUUUUACAAAUUGUUCCAUUUCUUACAAAUAACAGACACAAACACACAAAAUAAAAAAUGGGGGGGGGAGGAAGAACACCCAUCCAUACACCCAUAAGUUCUGAAAAUAUAAUUUAUGACACCAUAUUCUUAAUUCCCAAUUAUUUAACCUGAUGGACUUCCAUCUUCCUCAAUGCGAGUCUGUCUUAUCUUUUUGUUAAUCUGCUUCUUUGGUCAUUUUCCCAUUUCCUCUGUUAUCUGUAUGCUAUACUUAUAAUCUGUCUUGUAAUUUGCGAAAAUUAAUCAAAGCAUGUCCAGGUUUUGACCUGGGGACACUGUUUUUUUAAAAUAUUCUCUAUAAGUUUCCCACUCUUUUUUGAACUUUUGGUUUGGCUGUCUCCUAAUUGUCUCUGUCAUUUUUGCUAAUUCUAGAUAUUUAAAUAGUUUAUUCUGCCAUUCCUCUUUUGUUGAUAUUGAUUCUCCUUUCCAUUUUUUUGCAAUCAGUAUUCUUGCUGCUGUUGUAGCAUAUAGAAAUAUUCUCCUUUUUUUUAUUUAUUUGGAAUAUCUGAAUCUAAAAUGCCCAAGAGGAAGGCUUCUGAUUUCUUUGUAAAAGUUUGCUUAAACGUUUUUUUCAAUUCCUCAUAAAUGUCCCAGAAAUUCUUAAUUUUUUUGCAGCCCCAUCACAUAUGAAACUAUGGCCCUUCUGCCUGUUUACACUUCCAGCAAGUAUUAGAUCUCAUUUUAUACAUUUUGGCCAGUUUGCUGGGAGUUAUAUACCACCUAUAGAACAUCUUCUAGAAAUUUUCCUUUAGUGUAUAACAUGCCGUAAAUUUCCAUUCUUUAUUCCAUAAUCUUUCCCAUGCCGACAAUUGGAUAUUCUUACCAAAAUCUUUUGCCCACUUAAUCAUUACUUCUUUCACCUCUUCAUCUUUCACCUCCCACUCUAAAAGAAACUUGUACAUUUUAGAUAUUACUUUUCUUAUUCUGUAUUAAUUCUUUAUCUAAUUUUGAUUCUUCUGUUGCAAAACCUUUUUUCCUGUCUGUCUUUAAAACCUUAUUUAAUUGGUAAUAUUGUAGCCAGUCCAUUAGGUGAUGUCUGAUUUCUUCGAAUUGUUUCACUUUCAAUUGAUUAUCUUCUUCUAAUAGGGCUUUGUACGUGGCCCAAUUUGUUUCCAUUUUUUUUCUUUUCACUGCAAUGGCCUCCAGAGGGGUUAGCCACCAUGGAGUUUUUGGUUCCAAUAAAUCUUUAUACUUCUCCCAUACCUUAUAUAGUGGCUUCCUUAUGAUAUGAUUCAGGAAGCCUCUAUGAAUUUUAACUUUUUCAUAUCCUAGGUAGGCAUGCCACCCAAAGCGAUUAUCGAAACCUUCCAAAUCUAGUAAAUCUGAGUUCUGCAAUGUCAUCCAUUCUUUUAGCCAACAUAAGCAAGCUGAUUCGUAAUAAAAUUUCAGGUCUUUUAAAAUAUAUUUUUCCUUCACCUUAUCACGUGUUGUUUGAAGGUGGUUUAAAAAAUAAGAAUGGAAUAACAAAACAAUCCAAAGGGUUCAAGGGAGGGAGGGCUCCAAGGUGGAGGAGCCACCAAAGGAAGAGCAGAAAAAUGGAAGGGUGGCACUUUAUCUUCUCCCCCUUUUCCAUGUCCUUAUAAAAACAGCUCCUCCCAUUGGAAGGAAAUAUAAGUACACUGGGAUUAAGGCCAGCACACUCUCCUACCCAUUCUCUGUGUGUCAGAGGAACAGGAGAAUCUCCUGGACCCAAAACCUCCACCAGCAUACUCCUUGAAUGUUUCUUUUCCCCUCCUGCUAUUGUCGGGAUACUAAAGGCAGCAGAGGAGAUUCCCAUGGUAGUAGCAGCUCACCAGGUGUGGUGCUGCCAUUUUGCUAGCUUCCUGGCAGGUGGGUCACUAUUGUUUACUGAGAGGUUGAGAGGUGAACUUAUAGGGAGCUCAGUGGGGUGCAAACACAGUGGCAGGAAUGCUGUUCUGCCUGACUGAGACUGACACCUUGCAAGAUGGCUGCCGAACGCUUGACCAACUCUAAGAACUCUGCAUUCUUCUGAUACCAAUCUCUGGACUUCCGGGUUUGCCGCGGCUCAACUCCAAACACGCGUUUCUUGGGCUCCAGAAGACAUGCACUCACCGGGGGGGUGAAACGGGGGUUGUAAGGCUUCACAACCCCUCAGAAGGUUCAGGAGGGCUUCCAGACCUUAGAAGGAUUCGUUGUGAUGUGGGAAGGUCUCCAAAAACAGACCUAGAGGUUCGGGAAGAAGACCACGGGUGUUGGUAACAGCGUUCCCUCCCCCCGGUGAGAAAGCCUACACUGUAUAAAGCAAUUUCACCAAAUUUCAGGCAAAUUUCACAGUUUUAUUUUUUCCAGAAAGUGUCUGAGGUGAAAAAAAGUCUCAGUAAGUUUAUUGGUUUUUGCUUUGGGAUUGUUGUGGGGGGGUUGUGUGUGUUGAUGUUUAUCUCUCUCUCUCUCUCUCUCUCUCUCACACACACACACACACAGAGAGAGAGAGAGAGAGAGAGAGAGCACAACACAAACACACACACCCCAACACAAAAUGAUUCACUGAUGUACAUUUGGGGCCCAUAAUCAAUUUUCUAAUUGAAAACAAAAAGGAACGUGAGCCAACAACAACAACAACAAGUAUUUUAUUGAUUUUUGUCACUUUUUUGACCCACUUUUCAACAUAUUGGGAUGAGUCAUGUCCCAUGGCAUUUUUCAGAGAAAAUGUUGAUCCUGGAAGGCAGUCUUCUUUUGACAGCAUAUCCUUGGUUUCUGGGACACUUCAUUCCCACAAGAUACAUUGGAAUUUAGCUUACAGCUAGAAAAACAUCCCCCCUCCUAUUUAUUCCUAGAUAUAUAAAAAUAUGAGACCAUCACUGUACAGCUUCCAGUGGAGGAUUUGCAGUUGCCCCAUCACUAUUCUGGAUCUGCAUUAAGGUUAGGGGAAGGGAGCACAAGAGGAGUCGGGUUGCAUAACAGCAGAAGAAAAUGAUGGUUUUGAAAAACAGCAGAAGUUUGUUUGAUUAAAGCAUGGUGUUGAGGUACACAGAGGAAAUGGCGGUUUUAAACAGCAAGUUUGAGAAAAGGAGGGACAGGGGGAAACAGAGGGGGAAAGUGAUUUACCAUAAGCAAUGGCAGAAGUUUAAACAGAAUGAGGAGGGAUAACAAUGGGGCGGCAGUUUAGAACAAGGUUUUUGAGUACAUCAUAAAGGUGUAAUGGCAUGUAUGAAUGAGCAUGUGUACAUAAAGGGGGCUGUGGAAUAGGGGAGAGGAUAAGGCAGGGAAAUGGGUGUGAUCUGGGUGGAAGGGAGGGUUAAGAAAAGAAAGGAGGAGGGUGGAGCAAAAGAGAGUGUGAAAGUAAAAAAGUCAUGCAUAGUGGGUACAAAAAAUGACAGAGUAGGAGACAUGGGAAUGGGGCGGAAGCUGAAUGUUUCUGUAGAACACAGAAGCCAACUCCUAGAGCCCAAGGGGUCUUUGCCACCCCCAUAAAAUAUUUGAAGGAGCCCCCCCCCCAGUUAAUGGACAUUGCCAUUCAAAUGGUGUGCAUGCUCCACAUCAAUUAUGCAGGGUGGAACUUACCUGCCCCUGCCCAAAUAUUCUAGCUAGCACCCCUGCUGUACAGUGGGAGGCGGUGGCUUCAUGACUGGGCAGAAAGUGAGAAGGGUGGUUAGUAUUUGCAAUGCAUGGGAAGAAGAAGAUGCAAGAAGUUAGCAUGGAGGUGGUCUGUGUGAACGGGGGAUUGUGAAAAAGGAGAGGGAGGAGGAGACAAUGAGGCAUGAGGCAAAGGUGAGAAUUGAUGCAAAGCAGGUCUGCAGAAUAGAAGAGACAAGUGGCUUUGGAAAUGUGGUUGGGACAGUGAAAAGCAAGCUUGGUAGUUGCAUAAGGCAGGAAGGGGAAGCAGUAGGGGGUUCAUGUGAAGAGAAUGGUGUGGGUGUUGACAAGUGGACAGGAACACAGCACCUAGUGUGUUAAAUUUGUAACUGGCCUGGGUGAAGUUACAGGGGACCUAGUGAAGUUACAGGAGCCAGGAAAGAGAACCGUGUGGGGACUUUACAAGAGCAGGAUGAUUAAACAGGAAAUCCUUGUACACAAUAGGAUGUGAGAAAGCUAAGAACAGAUGCAAUAUUUCCACCACCCCCGUCUUCUUUUCUCUUACUGUUGAGCUUGUAGUAAUUCCCAGACAUUUAAGUUAAAUGAUGCCAGUUUCCUUGUACUGCUUGGACACAGAAUAUGGGUCUAUGGAGACUGUACAGCUCAGAGAUGAGGGACCUGUGGCCCUUGGCAACAACUUGCAUCCUCCCUGACCACUGGCCAUUGUUGCAAGGAAUGAUGGGAACUGGAGUCCAGCGGCAAAUGGAAAGACACAGGUUCGCCACCCCUGCUAUAAACUACUAUGGAUGCUCAUGCCUUGGAAGUACCACUUAAAGUUACAAAUUCUCUUUUCUUCAAUCCAGAACGGAUCACAUACACUGUACCCUGCUAUUAGGGAUUUGAUUCAGUCAUGUUGGCAUGAGGCAGUAAACACGACACAACAGAGACACUUUCACAACUUCACACUUACCUUCAGAAUUGCCCUGCCCCUGCCCCUGCCCCUGCUCCUCAUGUUGAAGAAGUCUUGCUUAAUUCUCUGUGGUCAGUGAAGCAAGAAGUGACCUGCUGUUUAGGAGGAGGGAAGAAAACAAUUACAGGACUUAUUUGACUCAAUUGAAUCUCAGUUUUGAAAAGCAACCCUUGUCAAAAAACACUACAGUAAAUUAAAAUGAAACCCCAUCAGUGGCAUGAAAUAGCUUGUGGUGCAACAUGCUUUUAUGUCAGUAAUAUGCCUUAAAGCAUAUAUAGCCAUAUAAUAGGAUCACCACAUCCGAGGAGGAUGUACAAUGCUAAAAAAAUAAUGCUCAGCUUGUGGGGUUUCUUUUUCUUUUGAAAUAGAGAUAUGAAUCAAGUUUACAUUGCAAAUAAAGUUAAGGGAGAAGCACUGGACAUGAUGACUGUGCAACGUGCUCUUACCAUGCAGUUGGUCAAUUGAUGAAAUCAGACUACUAUUGCGUGCUAGACUCAAUAUUCAUUUUUAAUUGGUCAGGGUUAUGAACCAUGUAGGAAAUAUUCUGAAAUACAGUUCUGAUUAAUAGUUUAUGGACGGGGGGGAGGGGUUGGAUGCUCCAUAACAAGUGCAGUUCCAGAGAAAAGGGGACAAUUGUAGAUGCACCCCAUGUGUAAAGAAAGGGUGUGUGGUGGCUUUAUUUAUUGCUAUAGGUGCUUUCACCUACACCCAGAGAAUCAAUAGAAGAUUGGAAAGACCAACAGAGUUGUUAUGCAAAAUACUGUGUUUCUAAUGUCUGUUCCCUUGAAGACAAUUACAAUUUGUAGCAUUGCACAGCAAACAGUAGCUUUUCAGUUAUUGCUCAUGGUCAGCUUAUGGCCUUUUCCAGUUUAACAGUGCGAUUCUCUCUCUCUCUCUCUCUCUCUCUCUCUCUCUCUCUCUCGUUACAUGCCACUCCAAUCUCUGAGUGGUACAAGAUUCCAGGGGUACCAGGCAUGCUUACCAGGGUCUGUGUUUCCUUUUGGACAAUGUGGCACAACAGAGACUGUAGUGUCUUUAUGAUAUGCAGUUUAUUUACACAUAUAUACAACCUGAGCCUACUGUUGAAUAGGUUCAGAGCAUUACACUCAAGACAAGUUUCAUCUCCCUCAUGUUGGAUCCCAAACUGCCAGCCCCCAUGCUGCUCUGGCCCCCCUUUCUCAUAGCUUGCAAAACACAACUAUUUUUCCUCUUCAGCUUGCAUCAUAGCCCAAUUCUGAUGGGUUAUCUCCCUGCUUUUGUUCCCUGCUAAUGGCCCAUCUUAGUGGCCAUUAUCAGGUUGACCGGUGUUAUUUCUGACCCUUGCUAGAUCCAAAAAUUUGGGAGAUUCUUAAAUUCU